ensembl:lncRNA
GCAGAUACCAAAUCUUCAAUACUUAUCUUGCUGGAUCUGUCCGUUGCUUUUGACGCGUUUAAUCACCAGAUCCUCCUGUCAACCCUAUUGGCAAAGGGCAUCUCAGGAACCGCACUCCAGUGGUUUGAGUCUUACCUCUCAGAUAGGUCCUUCAAGGUAUCUUGGAGAGGUGAGGUGUCCAAGUCGCAACAUCUAACUACUGGGGUGCCUCAGGGCUCAGUUCUUGGGCCACUUCUCUUCUCUGUCUACAUGGCAUCAUUAGGUUCUGUCAUUCAGAAACAUGGCUUUUCAUAUCACCACUAUGUUGAUGACACUCAACUCUACCUCUCAUUCUAUCCUGAUGAUCCAACGAUAGCUGCUUGCAUCUCUGCCAUCACAUUUACAGUUUUUCUCAUUUGCUAAGACACUAAAUGAAACUGGGAUCCACUUGAUCUUCAUCAUCACAUUAUUAGCACAGCAGAAGUCUUCUCUUGCAAAUGUUUUAACACUUUUUCAUUUGUUUCACACAUUUUUCACACCCUUUGUCAAAACAGUUACCAUAGAUCUCAUUGAAAGACCCCAAACGCUAUUGGAUUCACUGUGUUGAACAAAAGAAAAAAAUCUAUUCACAGCUGAUAGAAAGUACUUGCAUCCUAUCAUAUGACAAUCUCUAUGCACCUGUGUGAAACUCAUUUGCACAACUCUUCAAUCAGCAAUCAGUCCUCAUCCAUCUAUAAAAGAUGCCACCUCUGUGUUGCUAUUUGCAAGCAUGGAUCAAAGAGGCCAUAGGCACGGAAGGAGAGUAAGAGGCCAUGGCAGAGGGGCCCGAGGAAGAGGAGUUUGUAUGCGUGGUGGAGGAGCUGCAGCAGCAAGAGGACAAAAUCGAGCUCAAGUUUCAAAUGAAAUUCGGGCAACAAUUAUUGACCAUGUCAUCAAUCAUGGCUUGUCCUUUAGAAAGGCUGGACAAAGGGUCCAGCCCAUUCUGAGUCGGAGCACUGUGGCAUCUAUUGUCAGGCUUUUUCGGAAUGAGAACAGAAUCCACACAUUGCCACACACUGGUGGCAGAGGAAAGAUAUUUAGUAUUGAACAGGAGUCUGCCAUUGUAGAUAUGGUAGUGGCAAACAAUGCAAUCAGACUGCGUGAAAUCCAGGCAGCAGUAAUUGCAGAUCAGGGAGCAUUUAGAAAUAUAAACAGUGUGAGUUUGGCAACUAUAGAUCGAGUCCUUAAACGAAACCAUGUCAGAAUGAAGCAGCUGUACAGAGUUCCAUUUCAAAGAAACUCUGACAUCGUAAAGGAGGCACGAUUCCAGUAUGUGCAGAGAAUAAUGGAGCUUGAAGCUGAAGGGGCACAUCACAAAUUCAUUUUUGUGGAUGAAGCCGGCUUCAACCUCUGUAAAGUGAGGCGACGCGGGAGGAACAUCAUUGGGCAGAGGGCCACUGUCACAGUGCCAGGUCAGAGGGGUGCCAAUAUCACCAUGUGUGCUGCCAUCUCCAAUGAUGGAGUCCUUUGCCACAUACCAACUAUUGGCCCAUACAAUACAGAACGCCUCAUCACAUUUCUUGAUGCAUUGAAAGA